rnacentral:lncRNA from 1 species
GAUUGCUUAAAAAAUGUUUGAAAGAGAGUUUGACUUUGUAAUGAUUCUCGUAUGAAUGUAUACAAAGUAUUUAUCUCGUUUAAUUUGAAAGCGGUUUAGAAAAGGUUUUGAAAAGAGAAUUUAACUUUUGUAAUGAUUCUUGUAUGAAUGUAUACAAAGUGGUUUAUCUCGUUUAGUUUUGCAAUUGUUUAGAAAAAUAUAACUCGGUAAUGAUUCUUGUAUGAAUGUA